CAUUACCCUGAAAUAGAAUAGUUUUCUGAAAGCAUACUGUUAGGUUUACAAUAAUUUGGAUUAUUAAGAAGUAUUAGCUUUACAGCUGAAUACAAGGCAUGACCUGUGGCCUAGCAAUGCAACUGACCACAAGGCAGAAUGAUAGCUAGGUCUUUGCUUGUGUCAAGUAAUCAUUUUAACUGCACCAAGCAUUUUCUGAGUUAAAAAGUGAAUCUGUGUCUGUGUGCUAAAAAAAAAUCAGCUACAGCAAGAAGUAAGAUAAGACAGAGAAACCAUUGUUUGAGCUUACUGGUUGUGUCCUUGAGAAGUAUCUUCUACUGUGUAAGGUUUUGCUAACAUAAUGUUACUGUUACUUAACUUUUAGCUUUUAAAAAGUGCUAGUUCAGCUUAAUAGAAAUAUGCUGUUACAAAGAUUUGUAGAGCACCUCCCCAAGUAUUGCCUUUUGUUAACCAUAUAGUCUUGCUUUGUUGUAAGAAGUAUAAAAGAUCGCCUCACCCUUGAGGGGGGGCCAUUUUGCCUUUUGCUGGCUUUAUGGUCUUUGCUCGAGCAAAUAAACAGCUGUCUUUCUUUACCCGCAUUGUCUGUCAAUCAAAUUACAGCUAGACAACGGACCUUAGGGAGGUUUCUCCCACCACAGCCACUCCAGAUUUUGAUUUGUAUUCCCUCCUGGACACAUCUCCAAGGUCCUUGCUCUUCCUGCAAAAUAUAGUGAAAUGCCAGGCUACCUUUCUCGGACUUACUCCUAUUUCCUGAGCCAUACACCUAGCUUUUUUCCUGGGCAAUCUCCUUCAACUUCUUUUUAAAAGGUUCCACUUACAACUGAUGUGUCUUUCCAGUAUUUGAGAUGGUAACAAUCCACAAAAGCUGGGACCUUAUUUUUACUCCUUUAUGAGGACAGACAAGCUGCAGCUGGAGACCAGAAGUCUGAGCUGAUAGACUGGGAGUACACGGCAGAGAGCCCAAAAGGAUGCAGCAAGUGGUGAGAGGGGAGACCCUACACUGAAGAGCAACAGUGGGAUGUUCACCGCUGUAAAAGCCUCCAUGAGGAAAGAUAGCAGCCGAUGCCAAGCUGCUUUCGGUGGUCCUUUUAAACAACUUUCAAACUAUUCGUAUUUAAGAGCGUUAAAGACACACAGACAGACACACAGACCGAUGGACUCAACCCCUUAUAUAUAUAGACUGGGUACCACUCCGCUGAGGCUUCAGGCAGCCUGUUCACUGGCAGAUUUCCAAAAUCAUGACAAUCUCCAACAAGAACAACAAAAUCCAGCUUUUUUAUUGCUGAUGUUUUCAGAAGAAGACAGAAGAUUGGAUGAUUCAUCAUUAAACAUACCUUGCAAAAUGAGAGAGCUGUAUUUCAUAUACACGUGGUGAGUGAAGAUGUCAUUUAAAUUCAAUUUUAAUUCUGUGCAAAAUAGAGUCCAGUUUUCUCUUGUUGGAUCUUUCAGUGCUACAGCAGGAACUCUAUUAAAAGACUGUUGAUGUCAAUGGAAGUCUUGCCAAUGAUUUUAACAGGCUGCAAACCAGACCUCUGAGCUCUGCAAAAUAUAGUACAUGAAUCAUAUCUUGGGAACCUUUCCAGAAAUUUCAGAGAUCUUUACCUCAAGUCCUUCAUUCAUGAGUGACUUUGAACUACUGGAAGCAGACAUCAGAGAUUUCAUGCAGGAUAAUGGAAGCCAGAGCUAAAAACUGGAUGGCUCUGUGUAACUGGAGCAACAGACCAGGCAAUUUUAAAGUUAGCAACCCAGGGCAGGGAACACUAAAUAGAGAUGUAUGUGUGCAUACAAAAGCUGUUUUAAAGGGAGUAAUAUGAACUGGAUUUAAACUUGAGAUUGUCUUUCACACAGUGCAGAAUCAAUCAAGUGGUAACAACUCCAAAUUUCUUUCAAAAACAAAAGAGAUCUUGGAGAUGGGAUGAAAAAAAAGUGCAUAGAAAAUGAAAACUUUUAAACUUGUGAAACAUGACUAGUUCCUUAUGAAACACUCUUUUAAAAGCAGUGUCAAGUAUAGGAUAAAUAUAGAUCAGUAUUUGUCUUGUGACCAUCCCUCCCAUAGUUUGUAUAUUUACAUUAUCCCAUUUCAUUAUAGUGAAUAUGAAAUGACCUCAUUCACCAGCACAUUUCUCUUCCCCCCAAAAUGUCAAAGAUAAUUAUUUGGGAAAUCCUUCAUAGGUGCAUCUACACUGAGACACUGGUGCAGGCAGCUUCCAGGGCAGGGGCGUCCAGCCCUUGCCCUAAUCUUGGAGUGGGGGUUAAGCAGCAGGCAGUUGCUUGGGGUAGGGAUGUUGGGUGUGAGGCAGCUGCUCCAGAGGCAGGACAGCUUCCCUCUCCACUCAAAGCCCAGGCAUGACUCCAGAGCCCCCUGCCAGCCUGGGGUGGCAUCUGGGGAAGCCUAGAGCUCCCUCUGGCUGCCACAUGGAAGCAGAGUAGGGCAGGAGUAGCCCUGCCCUGAACUACUGCCAUUGGCCCCAUUCACAUGAGCUUGCAUGCGUCUGUUGCAGCAUCUCAAAGGAGUUUGAGAUACCACAGAAGGCACCCUGCAAACUAGAAAAUGUUCCCUGCACUCCGUAUUUGCAGCACAGACUCUAAAUUUGAUAUCGAGGAAUCCCUGUCUAAAAAAAAAAAAAAAAACACUGGAAAAAAGUGGCACAGGGCACACUCUCAGAGCAUGGCUGGAAGCAACUGUAGGCUGGGUCCCCAAGGAGAUGCUCUAGCACCCAGCCAGAGGGUCUCUAUGGCUACUGUGUCCCUGUGCUGCUCUAGCAUACUGCCUCAGCAUGCUGGAGAAAAUAAAAGUGAGGCAUGGCUUGCAGCAUUGGCUCUGGGGCUGGCUGGGACACAGGCUCUGUCCUUCCUGUGUUGCUCCAGAGCCUGCCUGGCACUUAGGUUCUGCCCUGGACCCAGGCACAGCAGCAGGACCAGCCCAACUGUCUUGCAGCCUUGCACAGGGUCCAGCUGUGUCCGUGUCCUGGAGGCUGAGGUCACCCAGGUCUCAGCUGCAGACCGGCAACAGAGUCAGGAGGACCCAGAGGCUGUGGCAGAGACCAUGGACGAUCCUAGUAAGCAGGGAUCUGGGUUUUCUGUUUCCCAUGGAAAAAUAUGUUUUUCCCUUUUAAAGGUGGAACCACAGGUUUCCUCAUUUGCAAACAGCUCUCUGCAGGCUGGCAGAGUUCCAGCCUGCAAGAGCUACUCGCCAAUGGGAGAGAAACCCUAAGCCAGGGGCAGCCAUGGAGGCCGGCUGGCCUGAAGGCAUAAGCUCAUGUGGGUGGGUGUAGGGAGUGUGGGGGAGAGUGUAGAUGGCAGUUGGGGGGAGCCCUGUACCCCCAUGGUACAUAGCCCCAACUGCUGGUAGCAGCAGCAGCAGCCAGCAGUGGGCCCUUGGUGUGUUCAUGGCCUACUUUAGACACAACCUCCUGGUGGUGCACAGUUCUACCUAGUCCUGGAUGCUGCAUGUGGCAGCAUGGUGCCAGCCUGGCCCACUGGUGCACACCUUCAGGCAGGGCUGGGCUGCCUCCAUGCCUCCAUGUGGGGCUCCUGGCACUGCAGGUGGGAGGCGUGCACCAUUGGGCCAGAUCAGCUCCUGCCUUCAUGUGUGGCUUCCAGCACUCCAGUUAGGACCCACAUGUGGUGUCACAGAGCCCACCCAGACUGACGGCAUGCGAAAUGGAAGCUGAGGGGACUUGCAUAUCAUUGGGCCAGGUGGGCUCUGUGCUACCACAUGCAGAUCCCUGCUGGAGUGCUGGAAGCUGCACAUGGAGUCAGGGGCCAGCCUGGCCUGAUGGCAUACAGCUCCCACCUGCAGUGCCAGGAGAUCCAUGUGGUGGCAUGGAGCCAACCUGGCCACUUGAAGGCAUGCGCCAGUGGGCUGCACUGGCUCCGUGCUGCCACAUGCAGCCCCCAGGACUCAGGUGGAGCCAUGCGCCAUGAGGGGCUCUGUCUGCAGUGGGCCCUGAGCACCCUGAGGGCCUCCUGCUGUCUGCUGUCACCAGCAGCGGGGACUGUGUACCAUGGAGAGUGGGGGGUCAUGUGUUGGGGCCUCCUUCACAAACCCACACACAUUCCAACACCUACACUCCCCCACAAACCCCACUCCCCUCCAUAAACCCCAUGCACUCACCCACAAACACCCAACUCCCCACAAACCCUCCACACACCCAUGAAUUCACGCACCGUCCACAAACCCCACACACUCCCAAACUCCACAGCCAUCCCCCCACACCUGUCCCCCACAAACCCCACAUCCCCCUGAGAGAAUUAAGAGUUGGAGAGAAAGAC